rnacentral:lncRNA from 1 species
UCGGGUAUGAUUACAUUGACUUCUCUGAAAUAGUUUCGCCUCUGCCUUUUGUUCUCGAACUCUAAAGAGGAGCCCCCGGCGUAUGGCAUUAUCAUGCUGAAGGUAGAUAAGGAAUUUUGGUUGUUGUUUUGUGUGCUUGGCUCUGGUUUGGGCAUUAUGGCUGGGAUGCUUGGGGGUGGAGGUAGUGUUUCUUGAGGUUUCUGAGGUGUAUUUGGGUUGGCAUGUUGCGGGAUUAUUUGGUGGUACGGUUGUAUGUGUGGUGGAAGAGGCCAGCUCAUUGGUUGCUAGAAAUUGGCGAAGCUAGGCUGCUUGGGGUAAAAACUUGGGUGCGGGUAAAAAGCUGUGUGGUGGAUUGUUUUGGGUUCUUGCGCGGCUUCUUUUGUAUCCUUUCUCUCUUCUUCUUUCUUUUUGGGGCACCACUCUGUGUUAUGAUGGUUCUGGUGGCCAUGGUUGACGCAGUAGAAUGAUUUCUGC